rnacentral:rRNA from 1 species
GACGAACGCUGGCGGCGUGCCUAAUACGUGCAAGUUGAGCGCUGAAGGUUGGUACUUGUACCAACUGGAUGAGCAGCGAACGGGUGAGUAACGCGUGGGGAAUCUGCCUUUGAGCGGGGGACAACAUUUGGAAACGAAUGCUAAUACCGCAUAAAAACUUUAAACACAAGUUUUAAGUUUGAAAGAUGCAAUUGCAUCACUCAAAGAUGAUCCCGCGUUGUAUUAGCUAGUUGGUGAGGUAAAGGCUCACCAAGGCGAUGAUACAUAGCCGACCUGAGAGGGUGAGCGGCCACAUUGGGACUGAGACACGGCCCAAACUCCUACGGGAGGCAGCAGUAGGGAAUCUUCGGCAAUGGACGAAAGUCUGACCGAGCAACGCCGCGGGAGUGAAGAAGGUUUUCGGAUCGUAAAACUCUGUUGGUAGAGAAGAACGUUGGUGAGAGUGGAAAGCUCAUCAAGUGACGGUAACUACCCAGAAAGGGACGGCUAACUACGUG